UUUAAAUAGGCCAAGGGUUACAUAAAAUUGGCAAGAUUUACCAUAAUACUCAUUCUCUAAUUAAUUUUUUUUUCCUUGCUUACCUAUUUUCCUUACUUACAUAUUUUCCUUUCUAACAAUUCCCCCUUAUUUUAUCAGUCAUUUAUUGGUCAACAUAUCCUUCUCCAAAUUCCAUUUCAUGCGUUGCAUCAGCAAUAUCCCCAUUCCCAAAAAUUUCUCCAACAAACAAAUCAACUUGUUAUACAUAUAUCCCUCCCCACAACCUCAUCGGUAAGCAUCCGCCGUUCCACAAUUCCUAGGCAGAUUUCUUCUCUUUCACAAAGGUAAUUUCUCCUCAAUCCCUUGAAUAAUGAAAAAUCUCCUUACUUUUGAUUCCAUAACACAAAUUCUCGAAAUCACAGUGUGAAGGAGAAAUUAAGUGAGUCGUGAUCUUUUUCAAUACAUCCUCUUCUGCAAGUUUUUGCUUCUUCCGGAAGGGUGAACUUGUGCACAUUGUUGCAGUUGGAACAAGAAAGUGUUGAGGAGUUAAGCUUUUGAGAUUGAGCAGCGACGGACGUGGUGGAUGUUGAGCAAAGUCUUAUAACAGAAAUUUACACCACAAAUGUUGAGUAACAACAAUAACAUACAUAUAUUAUCAAUAUAAUAGUAUAAUAUUUUUAA